UUCUAGCCCUGAUUGUAGCAUUUGUUUGAGCUCUUUUUUAUUCUUUUUCUGAAUAAAAAAAGCGAGUGCGAAAAGCAGGAAAUAGC
rfam:Polaribacter sp. SA4-12 genome.